CUCUUCUGCUUCCGAGUAAUCCGCUUUGUAGUUUACUAACCUCCUCCCCCCUCUCUCUCUCUGUCUCUCUCUCGACUCGGUGCACUGUUAGGGUAUUUGGUCUCGAGAGGUUCGGCGACUGGGGAGAUGGUGGCGGACAAGGGGAAGAGGUCGAAGGUGGAGGAGGAGGCCCCGUAUCACAUCGAUGGCGAGCUUGUGCUCUCCAUUGAAAAGCUUCAGGAGAUCCAAGACGAGAUCGAGAAGGUUAAUGAGGAAGCAAGCGACAAAGUUUUAGAGAUCGAACAAAAAUACAACGAGAUACGCAGGCCAAUCUACAGAAGGAGAAAUGAGAUUAUUCAAUCUAUUCCAGAUUUUUGGUUAACUGCAUUUCUUAGCCAUCCAGUAAUUUCUGAUCUUGUAACUGAGGAAGACCAAAAGAUCUUAAAGUACUUGGUGUCCUUAGAUGUGGAAGAUUUUAAAGAUGUGAAGUCUGGCUACUCUAUUACCUUUAAUUUCUCUCCAAACCCUUACUUCGAAGAUACAUGUUUGACAAAGACAUAUUCCUUUGAUGAGGGAACAACUAACAUAAAUGGCACUACAAUAAAGUGGAAGGAGGGAAUGAAUAUUGCAAACGGCGUUUCUCAUGAAAAGGAAGGGGGUAAGAGACCCUUAGUCGAAGAAAGGUUUGUAAUUUGUGUCUUCCUAUCUUGUAUUAAAGACCAUUCUGAAACAGCAAUGUGCGACAAUUAUAAGCCAAAUAAUUUAGAAUUCAAAUUUGUGACUGGUCCUGUUGUCCUAAUUUUAGCAAGCAUUAACCAAUAUUCUAUGGUAGUUGGCAGGUUUUUUGUUUUGUUGCUUUGCCUUUUGUCUAUUGCGAAUUACGAAAGUAUAGAAGUGCAUAGCUUGUAUAGAAACUUCUGAAGUCACAAAGAUGAUGGCACGUCUAGACAAAUUAGCAAUUACUUAUAGGAUCACUAUGUAACUUAAACAUGCCCUAAGGCAUAGCCGAGUUGGUUAUCACAUGACAAGUUUGCAAAAUUGAGCAAGGGUCGAAUCCCGGCAAAGACCGAGGAAUUACCCUCCCAUGUGAUGGCUAGCUUCGGUUUUCUGAUGUGUACUCCCUCCCAAUGGUGUGGGGCAGUCGUGGGGGGUUGUUUCACCUUUUGGCAGGUUUGCAGAAUUGCAGAACUAUGUAACUUAAACAUAUGAUAUAUGAGAUUAGUCAUUGUUCACUUGUUCUGUGAUCCUAUCAAUUUCUAGCUUGAUUUGUAAUUUCUAUAAGCUUUCUUCACUUGUGAUUGCUAUCGUCUUUUAUUUCCUGCUGCAGUUUCUUUUCCUGGUUCAAUGAGACUCAACCGAAAAAUCUUGCAGAAGGAUUCUCAGAUGAGGUGGCUGAGAUGUUAAAGGAAGAUUUAUGGCCGAAUCCAUUGAAGUACUUCAACAAUGAGAUCGACGAGGAGGAUUUUGAUGGAGAGGAGGAAGAUGAGCAG